CACCAGUGGCGCGAGGGCCGGCGGGGUCUGGGGGCUCAGCUUCGCCGCCCCCCCCCCGAGGCCCGCCCGCUUCGGCGCCGCCGUGCAGGGGGCGCUUGCAGGCGCUCGAGCAGGGCACGCCCCUGCUCUGGCCGGACCCCGAUGGCUCCGCCCCCCCCGAGCAGCCGGACAGGCCGGCCACGGACGAAUCCGAGCGGCGCGGGACAGGACCCCCGGCCGCGCCCCCGCCCCCCUCCCCCCGGCCCUCCCCCCCCCCCGGGGCCCCCUCCCCCCCCCGCGCCCCCCUCCCCCCCCCCCGGGGGUCCCCCCGGCCCCGCCCCUGCCGGGGG